GAGGCUAGGAGUCGCCGAUCUGUAUGAAUCAUGCUGGGCACGAAUGCAGUGUGGCUUUUGAUGGCUUCUGAUGGACAGUUCUGUGUCAAAGGGGUGGAAGUGGCUGCCGAGGUCCUAAAGUUUCACACCCUCGCCAUGGGCAAAGAGGCACUAAACAGAAGUAGCUGGAAGUUGAAGGGGUGGACUUGAGUCUUAGACAUGUCUGGACCGACCAUUUUUGGGCUUAUAGGCCACUAUCAUGGAGGCUUGCUUGGGGUACUGAGUUUGAAGACGUUUUCAUAUAAAGGUGUGAAGAGUUGGGGGCACCUUACAAAGCCUGGAACAAGGAGUUAUAAGCUAAGGCAGACUUGUCAACCUGAAGAUUUAGAGGGUGUUUAUGAGAGCAGCAAUCCAGUUAUGAGAGCAGCUUACCAGUUGAAAGGUGAGGCUUAAAGACAUCAGUACUGUUGUCUUAUUCCAGAAUACAUGAUGAUCUCACUCCAACUUGAACUCUCUCACUGAUCACUUGAUGAUCAUAAAAGAUCUGAUAUUCUAUGUACUCAAUACCAUUAGAAUUGAAACACAGAAAUGUGACUAAAAACAGCUUCUUUGUCCUUGCAGGCACCUGAAUGGAUGCUUAUGGGAUAGAAGAUCAAAUUUCCAAUUUCAAUAAAUUUUUAUAAACCA